ACAAACGAACACUAUUAACAGCAAUGAUUGUUGCGAUCAAACUUAUUGCAAAGUUUAAUAGUUUUGUAUGUUGGUUCAGGGUUGGUGACAUUUCUUCUCGGGUGUUCAGUCAUCUCAGAUCUUUGUAAAGGUUGGAUCCAGACUGAAGCUUGUGUAAUACCUCAGCUGCCCAUCCCAUGGCAGAAACAAAGCAAACAGAGAACAAUUGGCAUUUGCUGUUUAAACCAAGCAAAGAAUGAUGAUGUGAAUUUGAUCAAAUAUAGGCUAACUGAAGUGCAAGGUUAUGAGAUGCAUUAUGUGAAUGCUUGGCUAAAGAGAUGUGUCUUUAAUCUAGAUUUAAACAGAGAGCGUGUGUCUGAACCCUGAACAUCAUCAAGAAGACUGUUCCAGAGUGUAGCCUAUAGUAGCCAAAUGCGAAAAAGCUGUACAUCUGUCAUAUCUACAUUGCUUUCAUAGACUACUUAAUACAAUUUUUUAUAUCAUUUCUUAAAGUCAUUUGGUAUGAGUUGAAUUUUUUAUGUAGCCUAUUUUUAUUUUACUACUUCCAGACAAAUAAAAAGGUCACUUAUACACUUGCUUUGUUAUAACUGCAGGAAACCCCUAAAAGGAAGCUUUCGCUUACAACCAGUAAAUACGUACAGUUUCGCUUUUAUGUAGGCUAGAGGCUGUGUCUGAUUAGAAACAGACCAUACUACCAAACAUUCGCCAUGUUGUGUCUGAUGAUCCUAAUUUUAAGCCUCAUAAACAGAGCUUAUCUUUCAGAAAUUAUAGCACGAGGGGACACAGUUGUUGAGUUUGGAAAGGAUGCUUCAUUCUCUUGUACACUGUCAGACGCGUCUGGCGUCAAACAAGUCACCUGGCAGCGGGUGCGAGACCAGGAACCGGUACAAACUCUAGCUACAUUCAGCGAGUUCUUCAAGCAACAAGUGGAUGAUCAAUAUGUCGGAAAAGUCACUUUCACCGCGGCUUUUUGUUCCAUAAUUAUUUUGCAGUUUUGAAAUGACUGAAAAGCAAUUACUGGUGUAUAAUAGGCUAUUUAAUAGCAGGUUCCGAAUGUGACAACUUACCCCAUUUACAGUAGUUUGGCAAUAUCCCCCAUACUGAGAACACAAAUUUGAUGUGAGAUAAAUGAGCUUUUUCCAGGGCAAUAACAGUGAAAAUGCUCAAUUGCUGUUUUUAUGUCACAAGUUCUGUGUCAAAAGUAAACCUUCCCUGAGAAAUAUUCACUGGAAUAAGAAGUAACAACUAGUUUCAUUCUCCUCUAAUUGGUAAGAAAAGUGAAUAGUAUAUGUUUUCUAAGUAAAAAACGAGCAAGCUCAUUCAAGAUAAUGCAGAUAUGCCCAAACUGGUAAGGGAUGGUGUGAAUCAGAAGAUACUCAGAGAUUUGUCAAUGGAUAAUAAUAAUUGCAUCUUAAUGCAGCACCAAACAAUGUGCUCAAGAUGCAACUGAAACUUAAAUUCAGUUUCCAGUUCCAGAAAAAUGAAAGGAGUGCAUGCAGCCAAUAAUCCAUUGUAUUUGUUAAAUAAUAUUUAAGUAAGCAAAUACUAUUUAUUUAGUAAUGCAUUAAUAAAGACUCAAAUAUGAUAAGAUGUUUCUUUAUA
ensembl:lncRNA